GAUGAACGCUAGCGGCAGGCCUAACACAUGCAAGUCGAGGGGUAGCAGGAUUAAGCUUGCUUAAUUGCUGACGACCGGCGCACGGGUGCGUAACGCGUAUGCAACCUACCUUAUACUGGGGUAUAGCCCGGAGAAAUUCGGAUUAAUCCCCCAUAGUACUAAUGAAUCGCAUGGUUUAUUAGUUAAAGCAUUGCGGUAUAAGAUGGGCAUGCGUCCUAUUAGCUAGAUGGUGAGGUAACGGCUCACAGGGCUACGAUAGGUAGGGGGCCUGAGAGGGGGGUCCCCCACACGGGUACUGAAAACGGGACCAGACUCCAAGGGGAGGCAGCAGUGAGGAAAAUUGGUCAAGGGGCGCAACCCUGAACCAGCCAUGCCGCGUGCAGGAAGAAUGCCCUAUGGGUUGUAAACUGCUUUUAUUUGGGAAUAACCUCUUUACGUGUAGAGAGCUGAAGGUACCAAAUGAAUAAGCACCGGCUAACUCCGUGCCAGCAGCCGCGGUAA
rnacentral:rRNA from 1 species